GUCUGCUUCUUAUGCAAAGGUUUCUUUUGAUGGGCAGCCUAGCCAAUUAAUUAUGUUUGGAUCACUCUGGGCAAUUCUCUCUGGAGUUGAGAGUACUCUGAGCACUGCCCAUAGCGUGCCACGACGACCGUUUGCACUAUAGGAGCCUCGCGACACAGUCCUCAUAUGAGAAGUGGGGAUUCCACCAGCAUUCUCACAAAUAGGUACUAUUCAUUUUGCUUCAGAGAGAUGUCGAUUGAUGCUGCGUUUAACUGGAUUUGGAAAGCUAAGUGCAAUAUGAAAUGGAAAGGUUUUCGCCUGGCUUCUCUUGGCUAACAGGCUGAAUAUGAGAAAUAUGCCACGCAGGAGGCACUACCGAGUUACUAAUGACUAUACAUGCCUGCUGUGUGAUAAUCCUCCCGAGGAAACCCUGGCAAUUCUCUAGGGUGACUUGGCCAAACUCUAAAUGCAGACUUGAGAUGUUGCACAUGGGAAAACAAACUUGGCACAAACCUCUGUUCAUGGAAACUUUCAUUGUUGCCGUAUGGGGGAUCUGGAUGGAGAGAAAUGACAAGUCCUCUAGAGGAAUGCCCAUGCAAGCAUUAUCCAACAAUAACAAGUCUUCUUAUUCAUGCAUGCACACCCUUAGAAGACCACAAUGGGCCUAAGAAAUCUUCUCUGCUCAAAUUAUGUAUGCUUAUCUAUAUGAGGCAUCUCUCCUAUGUUGCUUGCUUUUUAAAAGCAUUGUAAAUGGCUAUCAAAACUUCU